AGGAGAGGUGGCUGAGUGGUCUAAAGCGGCAGAUUGCUAAUCUGUUGUAUGAUUUCUUUCAUACCGAGGGUUCGAAUCCCUUCUUCUCCUA
rnacentral:tRNA from 1 species